rnacentral:rRNA from 1 species
CCUACGGGCGGCAGCAGUGGGGAAUAUUGCACAAUGGGGGAAACCCUGAUGCAGCAACGCCGCGUGAGUGAAGAAGUAUUUCGAUAUGUAAAGCUCUAUCAGCAGGGAAGAAGAUGACGGUACCUGAUUAAGAAGCCCCGGCUAACUACGUGCCAGCAGCCGCGGUAAUACGUAGGGGGCAAGCGUUAUCCGGAUUUACUGGGUGUAAAGGGAGCGUAGGCGGCAUAACAAGUCUGAAGUGAAAGCCCAAGGCUCAACCAUGGGGCUGCCUUGGAAACUGUUGGGCUAGAGUGCUGGUGAGGUAGGUGGAAUUCCUAGUGUAGCGGUGAAAUGCGUAGAUAUUAGGAGGAACACCAGUGGCGAAGGCGGCUUGCUGGGCUGUAACUGACGUUGAGGCUCGAAAGCGUGGGGAGCAAACAGGAUUAGAUACCCUGGUAGUC